UCAGCUGAAUCUGUUAUUUGUAAAUAUCAAUAUUUUUUAUUCAGGUGUGGGGAUAAUAUGUAAGACUGCAGUGAAGCGAUGCGCCAGAUUAAUCCCUGGCCAAAGGUAUCGUACUUAAAUCAGACUACUGAUCCAGCCACAUCAGCCUUUUGUGAGGUCUGUUUAAAGUAGACUUAAAAUGAACUGCAGGUUCCUGAGAGGUGGGACUGUGAGCACAGAAACACAUGUUCAUACAUACAGCUGCAGCAAGCUUACAUUAAUUUUAAAACGAUUUGUUACUCUGAUGUCUGUCUCUGUGUUAGUCCUCUGACAGACAGGUGACCUGUCCAGGUGUGCUCUACCUAUGACUACUGGGACAGGCUCUAGCUCCUGUAAUAGAAAUUUUCUAUUAUUCUCAUUUAAAGUAUUUAAGUGCUUAUGCAUAUGCUUAGUUGUGACACUGUUAUAGACUGUUCAGUGAACGUUUCUAAAACUAGAUGAACUUACUUCAGCGUCAGCAGUUUGAGAAAACAACUCCCUUUACAGGUGCUGAUAAGGCCAAGGGCACAAAACAGCAUAACCAUUGAUCCGUUAGGUUUCAUAGCGAGACGCGUGAAGUGUGGUAUGAUCAGUUUGUAACUUCCUCUCUCUUUCUUGGAAUUCAUAAAGGAGUAGGAGCACGACUUCUGUGGCAGAGCUGACAUGACUGUGAACUUAGAUGUUUGAUGUGUGUUGGCUCUCCUGCGCGCAGUAAUAAAUAGCUUGAUCACAGCUCUUUCUGUGUUGCAGACUUUAUUUACAAAAUUCCAUGAUAUUCCAUGCUUUAGGACUGAGACAGCUGAGGCAUCAAAUGUUUGAUUAAAGCGAUGAAAAAGAGAAGUUUCUUCCCUGUAAUUAUCACUUUUUAAAAUCUUUGGCAACUUCAGGUCUGUCAGCGUGCUGAGGUCACAGAAACAAGAAAAGCAGCUUGACUUCAGAGUGUUGUUUACAGUUUUCUGUCAUCAUGAUCUCCCCUGAAGUUUAUCAAGCAAUGGUGACGGUGUGGAGAGACGGUGGUGUUUCCUCAGAAGAACUAGCAGAGUCACAAAGGGCACGAGUCCUUCUCACCACCUUGACUUGCUGACUGAUGCUCGUCUGCACUGCACAGAGGAAAUCAACUGACCGAGGAGUGUUUCUGAGUGAGGGAGAGAGAAGUCAUCAUCCAGGUAAAGUGACGUGGAUCAGUGGAUACACUUGUCUCUCCUUUAAAGGAGAUACUCUUAGAGAGAGACGAUCCGAGUCAUCAUAAAAUAUGGGAAGGAUAUCAAUCUUGGACUGUCUAACCUGCAGGAGCAGCACUGAAUAACCACCACACAUGAGCAUGUUCCUGCAACAUUCAGCAUCUGAUCUGCCAUCUGUGUGCUUCUGCUUUUGUGUCAAAUGUCAAACAGCUGGAGAGGAAACUACACCAGUGUACUGGGAUGUUUCACCAACACGUGCCAGAUGCUGUAACUUCAUGGUUUCAUCACCAGAGACGGCCCCGCCCACCUCAGGACCUCGCCAUUGAUCAUGAUGAUUAUAAUGAUGACAGCAAGCGGAACUAAGACUGUAAAAAUCCACGACCAGAAUGUUUAGAUGCUUUCUAAUUAUUAAUGAAUACUGAGAGCCUCUUUCUGUGUUUUGUCUGUUUUGUUUUGUUUUGUUUUUUACCUCAUUUGUUACUAACAAAGUUCACCAAACUCACACAGUUUACAUUCUGUAUGUUUCCAUCUUUACCAGCCACACUCUACCCGCAAUUAAGCAAAUAAUCCUUAGAAAUCGUCGUUUUUCUCUUUUGUAAUUGAUGAUAAUUCAGUGAAUAUACUGCGCUGCUUCCUUUAAUUGCAUCACACAUUGCUUUAAGUUUUUCAGUGUCCAGUUAUUUUUUUACUGCUGUUUGAAUUCUCUGCAUGUUUGACCCUGUAGACUGUUUAAUGGACUGCUUGUCUUGUAACCGCUGCCUGUUUUUGACUAAAGAUUUGGAUUUCUGACUUUAA